AUUGAACGCUGGCGGCAGGCUUAACACAUGCAAGUCGAGCGGAGAGAGGUAGCUUGCUACCGAUCUUAGCGGCGGACGGGUGAGUAAUGCUUAGGAAUCUGCCUAUUAGUGGGGGACAACAUUUCGAAAGGAAUGCUAAUACCGCAUACGUCCUACGGGAGAAAGCAGGGGAUCUUCGGACCUUUCGCUAAUAGAUGAGCCUAAGUCGGAUUGGCUAGUUGGUGGGGUAAAGGCCUACCAAGGCGACGAUCUGUAGCGGGGCUGAGAGGAUGACGCUGCACACUGGGACGGGGACACGGCCGCGCCCCCGACGGGAGGCAUCAGUGGGGAAUAGUGGACAAUGGGCGCAAGCCUGAUCCAGCCAUGCAGCGUGUGUGAAGAAGGCCUUAUGGUUGUAAAGCACUUUAAGCGAGGAGGAGGCUACUUUAGUUAAUACCUAGAGAUAGUGGACGUUACUCGCAGAAUAAGCACCGGCUAACUCUGUGCCAGCCGCCGCCGUAACAC
rnacentral:rRNA from 1 species